GGGGAUGAAAUGAAUAGACAAGAGGUUUCAUUUCACGCACGCAUGCCGAGUAUGGAAACAAUCUCGUAAAACUUUUUCCAAUUCCCAAAUGCAAUCGCAUCUGGAAAAUCAAUUACUUCUCCGUAUUUUGCGCAGAAGGACUUUGAUUUCGCGUUCGCCUAAACAGGCCCGCGCGAUGUCUUAACUGCCGAUUCCUAAUACGUAGUUAGGGCAUAAUAAACUUAGGAUAGGGGACAGAGUUGCUUCACUUUGAACCCAAAACCCACGAAGCUCGGAGUAAAUGUGUUUUGUUGAUUUCAAAGCAUUUAUUCUUAAAUCCGCAAGGAAUCAAAAUUAACUAAGCAUGUAGAAGUUCAUGGAAUCACUUUUUGCACGGCGGUUCGCUACCGCCCAUCUCCACAC
rnacentral:tmRNA from 1 species